CAGGAGUACUCAGGUGAACCUGGUGAAAACAUCUUCCAGGAGGAACCUAAUGAACAGCCUGGGAACAACAUCUACCAGGAUGAAGAAGAGAACACUGCUCAAUACAUCUAUGAAGUAAGCAGAAAAGAAGAGAAAGUAAAGAAAUGUUCUCUAUUGUCUUCCGCUUAGGUAAAUCUGAUAGUGAACAAAUAAAAAACUGAAAAAUCUCAAAACUGAAAAACGUUGCAUUAUGCUAAACCGAGAUUUUUUUUCUUCCCCAGGCCAAUACUGCAUACCAGUUUGUAGCUGAAUUCCCGGUAAGCAAAACUGUAAGAUG